AACAUAAUUUUUUAAAGAGAAAUAAGAUAAGAUUAAAGAUUUAUAAAUUAUCACAAUAUUUUGAUGCAGGGAGCGCUUAUGGAUUUUUUAUUUAUAUUAUACUAGAUAUGAGUUGGGUGUCUAUUCUACUAGAGCUACGUUGUUUGAGGAUCUUGAGGUGAACUGGGUUUGGUGAGAUGUACUCAUUCUAUUAGCCUCAAUUA
rnacentral:lncRNA from 1 species